UGGAGAGUUUGAUCCUGGCUCAGAUUGAACGCUGGCGGCAUGCCUUACACAUGCAAGUCGAGCGGCAGCAUGAUCUAGCUUGCUAGAUUGAUGGCGAGUGGCGAACGGGUGAGUAAUACAUCGGAACGUGCCCUGUAGUGGGGGAUAACUAGUCGAAAGAUUAGCUAAUACCGCAUACGACCUGAGGGUGAAAGUGGGGGACCGCAAGGCCUCAUGCUAUAGGAGCGGCCGAUUCUGAUUAGCUAGUUGGUGAGGUAAAGGCUCACCAAGGCGACGAUCAGUAGCUGGUCUGAGAGGACRAUCAGCCAACACUGGGACUGAGACACGGCCCAGACUCCUACGGGAGGCAGCAGUGGGGAAUUUUGGACAAUGGGGGCAACCCUGAUCCAGCAAUGCCGCGUGUGUGAAGAAGGCCUUCGGGUUGUAAAGCACUUUUGUCCGGAAAGAAAUCGCACUUACUAAUAUUAGGUGUGGAUGACGGUACCGGAAGAAUAAGGACCGGCUAACUACGUGCCAGCAGCCGCGGUAAUACGUAGGGUCCAAGCGUUAAUCGGAAUUACUGGGCGUAAAGCGCACGCAGG
rnacentral:rRNA from 1 species